rnacentral:tRNA from 1 species
GCGGGUGUAGCUCAGUUGGCUAGAGCGUCUGCCUUCCAAGCAGAAGGUCACCGGUUCGAACCCGGUUACCCGCUCCA